GACGAACGCUGGCGGCGUGCCUAAUACAUGCAAGUAGAACGCUGAAGGAGGAGCUUGCUUCUCUGGAUGAGUUGCGAACGGGUGAGUAACGCGUAGGUAACCUGCCUGGUAGCGGGGGAUAACUGUUGGAAACGAUAGCUAAUACCGCAUAAGAGUAGAUGUUGCAUGACAUUUGCUUAAAAGGUGCAAUUGCAUCACUACCAGAUGGACCUGCGUUGUAUUAGCUAGUUGGUGAGGUAACGGCUCACCAAGGCAACGAUACAUAGCCGACCUGAGAGGGUGAUCGGCCACACUGGGACUGCGACACGGCCCAGACUCCUUCGGGAGGCAGCAGUAGGGAAUCUUCGGCAAUGGACGGAAGUCUGACCGAGCAACGCCGCGUGAGUGAAGAAGGUUUUCGGAUCGUAAAGCUCUGUUGUAAGAGAAGAACGAGUGUGAGAGUGGAAAGUUCACACUGUGACGGUAUCUUACCAGAAAGGGACGGCUAACUACGUG
rnacentral:rRNA from 1 species